CUGUUUUGGUGUUUGCUUUGAAAAAGGCUGCCGGCCCAAACUGCAUGGAGAAGAGGAGAGAGAAAAGCAACAUCCUUGCCCAUAGGCCAGCACGGUUCCCAGUCAGGCCCUGGUGGAAUGACAAGUGCGGGCCAGCUGAUGAUAAGGACAGGUCAGACCAUGCCCUGGAAGGGCCUGUCCCCUCUCGGCGAGGGCUGGAAAA